rnacentral:rRNA from 1 species
AUUGAACGCUGGCGGCAGGCCUAACACAUGCAAGUCGAACGAGUGGCGGACGGGAGAGUAAUGUCUGGGAAACUGACCGAUGGAGGGGGAUAAGUACUGGAAACGAUAGCUAAUACCGCAUACCCUCGGAUGUGCCCCGAUUGGAUGAGAUAGUAGGUUGGGGAAGGGCCUACCUCUGCGACGAUCCCUAGCUGGUCUGAGCGGAUGACCAGCCACACUGGAACUGAGACACGGUCCAGACUCCUACGGAGGCAGCAGUGGUGAAUAUUGCACAAUGGGCGCAAGCCUGAUGCAGCCAUGCCGCGUGUAUGAAGAAGGCCUUCGGGUUGUAAAGUACUUUCAGCGGGGAGGCGUUACCCGCAGAAGAAGCACCGGCUAACUCCGUGCCAGCAGCCGCGGUAAUAC